UACGUAGGUCCCGAGCGUUGUCCGGAUUUAUUGAGCGUAAAGCGAGCGCAGGUGGUUUAUUAAGUCUGGUGUAAAAGGCAGUGGCUCAACCAUUGUAUGCAUUGGAAACUGGUAGACUUGAGUGCAGGAGAGGAGAGUGGAAUUCCAUGUGUAGCGGUGAAAUGCGUAGAUAUAUGGAGGAACACUGGUGGCGAAAGCGGCUCUCUGGCCUGUAACUGACACUGAGGCUCGAAAGCGUGGGGAGCAAACAGG
rnacentral:rRNA from 1 species